rnacentral:rRNA from 1 species
ACGAACGUUGGCGGUGUGGAUUAGGCAUGCAAGUCGCGCGCGAAAGUCUUCGGACCGAGUAAAGCGGCGGACGGGCGAGUAACGCGUAAUCAACCUGCCCUUGAGACUGGAAUAGCCACUGGAAACGGUGGGUAAUGCCAGAUGGCCCCUCGGAUCGGCAUCGAUCUGUGGGUAAACGGUGGCGAAAGCUGCUGCUCAGGGAGGGGAUUGCGGUCCUAUCAGCUAGUUGGUGGGGUAACGGCUCACCAAGGCGAUGACGGGUAGCUGGUCUGAGAGGACGACCAGCCGCACUGGGACUGAGACACUGCCCAGACUCCUACGGGAGGCUGCAGUCGAGAAUCUUCCGCAAUGGGCGAAAGCCUGACGGAGCGACACCGCGUGCAGGACGAAGGCCUUCGGGUUGUAAACUGCUGUCGAGCUCUAGGAAACCCGAGUUGUUAAUAGCGACUCGGCUGACUAAGGCAGAAGGAAGUGGCGGCUAACUCUGUGCCAGCAGCCGCGGUAAGACAGAGGCCACGAACGUUGUUCGGAAUCACUGGGCAUAAAGCGCACGUAGGCGGCUGGGUCCGUCGGAUGUGAAAGCCCCCGGCUCAAACCGGGGAAUUGCAUCCGAUACAGCCCGGCUUGAGGACGGUUGGGGUGAGUGGAACUCCUGGUGGAGCGGUGAAAUGCGUAGAUAUCAGGAGGAACACCGGUGGCGAAAGCGGCUCACUGGACCGUAACUGACGCUGAUGUGCGAAAGCUAGGGGAGCAAACGGGAUUAGAUACCCCGGUAGUCCUAGCUGUAAACGAUGGGCACUGGGUAGGGGGGGAAGCCUAUGCUCUUCCCUGCCGAAGCAAAUGUGUUAAGUGCCCCGCCUGGGGAGUACGCUCGCAAGGGGUAAAACUCAAAGGAAUUGACGGGGGCUCACACAAAGCGGUGGAGCAUGUGGUUCAAUUCGAAGCAACGCGAAGAAACCUUACCUGGCCUUGACAUCCAUGGAUUAGUCCUUCUGAAAGGGAGAGUACUGCUCUUCGGAGCCGGAACAUGGACAGGUGUUGCAUGGCUGUCGUCAGCCUCGUGUCGUGAGAUGUUGGGUUAAGUCCCGUAACGAGCGCAACCCUUGUCGCUAGUUGCCAGCGGGUAAUGCCGGGGACUCUAGCGAGACCCGCCGGUUGUCAAAACCGGAGGAAGGUGGGGACGACGUCAAGUCAUCAUGGCCCUUAUGGCCAGGGGCGACACACGUGCUACAAUGGCGUGUACAAAGGGUUCCGAUACCGCGAGGUGGAGGCAAUCCCAAAAAAGCACGCCCCCAGUUCGGAUUGAAGGCUGCAAUUCGCCUUCAUGAAGCCGGAAUCGCUAGUAAUUCGCGUAUCAGCCAUGACGCGGUGAAUAUGUUCCUGAGCCUUGUACACACUGCCCGUCAAGCCACGAAAGCGGGGAGCGCUCGAAGUCGCUUUGGUCCAACCGCAAGGAGGACGGCGCCGAAAGCGAGACUCGUGAUUGGGACU